UAUUGGCCUGAGGAAGUUUACCACUCACAUCAGAACAGAACAACCUUGGACUUGUGCAAAGGAGAAGGCUAGAUGUAAGAUCUUGCAUAAAAAGCCAGAAAUCUGGAAAGGCUACAUCUGAGUGAAACGAUAUUGAAAAUAGCCAUUAGUGUAAAGAAACUACAAGGGAAACUUAUCUCUACCAGAGUCAACAAGAGGAUGAGGAGGCAGAUUUAAAUACCUCAACAAACUUAAAGUAUAAGGAUGGAAAAAAAAAUCUUGAUGUGAUGUCAAUGUGCCAACUGAAAGCUAUCUAUUGGAUGUCUCUGUUUGGUGCUAAUUCCUGUAUGUUCUCUGCGUCAUGGCUACCAAAAAUAUGAGCAAUGGACCAGUGAUGGUCAGAGAUGAUUUGAACUGGUCCGUUGUGAGCUUCAUCGUUAGUCCUAUAGAGAAUGAUACCUGUUUCACCAACUGGACAGGUAGGCUCUGAAGAUGAGAUGAAACACUAAGAAGGAAACAUUGAGGAAAGACUAAUUCUCAUGAAGGAAUUCUAGUUACACCAUAAUAUUUCUGCUUCUUUCUCAGUCCUUUCUCUAUUUUCUUACUGCCUUUCUCAUCUACUGUUCUAGCAAUGCCUCAUUAUUUACAUAUCAAUGAAUAAGGCUUUCCACCAGAAACUAAUGGAUUUUCCACCAAACUAAACCAUGGAAAAUAAUUUUUUUAGCUUUCAUCAUUUUAAAUGGAGUAUUUUAUAAACAAGAAUUA